GAUCCUGGCUCAGGACGAACGCUGGCGGCGUGCUUAACACAUGCAAGUCGAACGAAAAGACGGAAAGGGCUUGCUCUUUUCAGAAUUGAGUGGCAAACGGGUGAGUAACACGUAAACAACCUGCCUUCAGGAUGGGGACAACAGACGGAAACGACUGCUAAUACCGAAUAAGUUCCAAGAGCUGCAUGGCCCAUGGAAGAAAAGGUGGCCUCUACCCGUAAGCUAUCGCCUGAAGAGGGGUUUGCGU
rnacentral:rRNA from 1 species